UUACAAUUUGUACAUAAAUGCCCAGGAAAAGUUGGAAGGUGCUACAUUAAGGUGUUAAGAGUCGCCAUGGGGGUGGCUGAUGUGAGAAUUUAAGGUGUUUUCUCUUUAGGAUAAAAUAUCCUACCGCCCAAAGAAUAGGCCGGUCGCGGUGGCUCACGCCUGUAAUCCCAGCACUUUGGGAGGCUGAGGCGGGCGGAUCACCUGAGGCCAGGAGUUCUACGAAAGCAAUUCAUAUUUCCUAGAAAAUCUGAAAAACACAGAAAAGCACAAGUAGGAAGACACAAAUGCACUGGGCAGGAAUUGAUUUCAUUCUGGCCUCCUAUGUAUCUUUGAUCUUUCUUUUCCUUUUCUUUUUUUUUUGGGGGGGACAGGGUCUCACUCUGCAGUGUAGAUUAGAAUGCAGUGGUGCUAUCACAGAUCACUGCAGCCUCAACUUCCUGGGCUCAAGCGACCUCCCCACCUCAGCUGUCACCCAGGCUGGAGUGCAAAUGGUGCAGUCUUGGCUCACUGCAACCUCUGCCUCCAGGUUCAAGUGAUUCUCCUGCCUCAGCCUCCUGAGUAGCUGGGAUUACAGGUGCAUGCCACCACUACCGGCUAAUUUUUGAAUUUUAGUAGAGACAGGGUUUCACCAUGUUGGCCAGGCUGGUCUUGAACUCCUGACCUCAGGUGAUCCGCCUGCCUCGGCCUCCCAAACUGCUGGGAUUACAGGCGUGAGCCACCGUGCCUGGCUGCUAGUCAUGGUUUUAAGACUGGAGUUAUUAUACUGAAGAAGACAGAGAAGGAAUUUUCUUGAGAUGAUAUUGGGCAAGGGAACUAAAAAACAAGUAAUGAUCAAAUAAACAAGAUGAUGUCAGGAAAUAAUAAACCCUGGGAAGAAACAACAGAGGGUGGAGGGUGGAGGAUGGAGGAUGGGGUGGGGUGGGGUGGGGUGUGAACUGUUGAGAGAACCGGGAAAGAUGGAGAAGUCAAAAGAAAUAAAUGUGGAUGUGGAACAUGCAGGCCACUGGCAAACUUGAGGGCAUUUUCAGGGGCAUUCAAAAGCUGGAUGAGAAAACCAAAGGUACAGUGAAGUUAACCUGCCCAAUUAGUAAGCUACAGAGUGGGCCUGAGGCCUUGCCCUGGUCUGUCCCACCUUUGCAUUGGCUAGACAAUAGUUGGAUACGUGGAGGAGUCACGGCCCAGCCUCACUGUGAGGCCAGCCCCUGCUAGAGUGGGUGAGAGAUUCUGCAGGCCUAGGCUGUGGCAGCCCCUGCUAGAGUGGGUGAGAGCUUCUGCAGGUCUAGGCUGGGCCAGCCCCUGCUAGAGCGGGUGAGAGAUUCUGCAGGCCUAGGCUGGGCCAGCCCCUGCUAGAGCGGGUAAGAGAUGAUUCUGGAGACCCCCAAGAGGCCUCCUGAGCGGAGCUGGUGGGUUCCUUUUCCUUCUCCGGCAGGACGUUAGAGCAGCAUUGAUCCACGUUUCAAAACCCAGGCUCCCUUUUGAUACACGUAGAACCCUUCCACACCCUUUUUUUCAUAUGUGACUUGAAGUUUCAAAACAAUAUUGUGUGUUUGAAAAAAGCGGGCGUGACGUUGAACAGCCCGUCUUUGGGCCCUGCGGGUUCUGACUGCCCCCACAGCCCCUCAGAGGUGAAGGUGCAACCGGUGGUGGCCAUGGCGAGCCAUCGGCGGAAACGAGCUCGUGAGGGACUCGCCUGGCCUCUGGGCUUGACAUCCUGAAUCUCAUUACCAAGGUGGAGCUGGUCCAGGAGCUGCUCCUGGCUGUGUCCUCCAGCCCCGUGAGGACAGUUCCUCUGUCCCUCCCACACCGAUGUGCAUUCCCUCUGCCCGUUCAUGUCUGCAGCUCCUCUGUCCCUCCCACACUGAUGUGCAUUCCCUCUGUCCAUCCAUUUCUGCAGCUCCUCUGUCCCUCCCACACUGAUGUGCAUUCCCUCUGUCCAUCCAUUUCUGCAGCUCCUCUGUCCCUCCCACACUGAUGUGCAUUCCCUCUGUCCAUCCAUUUCUGCAGCUCCUCUGUCCCUCCCACACUGAUGUGCAUUCCCUCUGUCCAUCCAUUUCUGCAGCUCCUCUGUCCCUCCCACACCGAUGUGCAUUCCCUCUGCCCGUUCAUGUCUGCAGCUCCUCUGUCCCUCCCACACUGAUGUGCAUUCCCUCUGUCCAUCCAUUUCUGCAGCUCCUCUGUCCCUCCCACACUGAUGUGUAUUCCCUCUGCCCGUCCAUUUCUGCAGCUCCUCUGUCCCUCCCACACUGAAGUGCAUUCCCUCUGCCCGUCCAUUUCUGCAGCUCGGCACGAGUGCAGAAAUGAUCCGAAGCCCCGUCCAAGUCAUGAUUUCUUAUUAUGUGCUCUGUGAAUGUUAAUAGUCAACAGCUGAUGCUGUUGCCUUUUUUAACCCUCCUCUCCACUCGGGACGCAGUGGUAACUGCAUGAGUGGGUGUGAGGUCUGACGGUGGAGAGAGGGUGUGAGGUCUGACGGUGGAGAGAGGGUGUGAGGCCUGACGGUGGAGAGAGAGGGUGCGAGGUCUGACGGUGGAGAGAGGGUGCGAGGUCUGACGGUGGAGAGAGGGAGUGAGGUCUGACGGUGGAGAGAGGGAGUGAGGUCUGACGGUGGAGAGAGGGUGUGAGGUCUAUAUUUAGAUACAGGAAUACUUUCCGCUGUGUCACAGUUGCCUGCAGCCUUCGGUACAGUAACCGUAUGUUUCUUUGUUGAAUCGCAUUAUUUCCAGGCAGCACCGCCGUCGGCUGUGUGAAGGCCAGAUCACGUGCUGUCGUGUUUGCCUGGACCCUCCCCUGGCAUUGGGCGUCUGUGUUGUUUCCAGUUCUUUGCUAUCAAACGUGACGCAGCUGUGAGUGCGCUCAUCCUGUGUGAUAAUAGUCCGUUUCUCUCUGUUUCCCACCCGGCUCUUCUAGCUGAAUAGUUUUGCAGCUGCCUCCCGCUGGGUCUGGGGUUGCCCAGUGCUGAGCCAGGCAUCCUGGGUUUGUGGCGAGCUGCUCAUCCAUGGUGAUACUGGGAUUAUUCCCAGACCCUCAUCCCAGCCGUGACAGCUUGGCCAGGCCCUGCUGCUGCUGGGCUUGCUUUCCUCUGAGCUCAUUUCCUUAUGUAUGUUAUAGUCCCGGGGCAGGUCCCUGCUGUUUUCAGCCUCCUUUCCCAGGUGGAAAAUCCCCUCAACAGCCUGAUUUUAGUGACUCUGCUCUGGUCCCCCACCUCCCAAGGGUCACUUUUAGUCCCUGAACCCUGGAAGACCAAUCUCCCAGCUGCCUCUGUCUGCUUCGGAGCCCAGAGCUCAGCAAGCGGCUGUGCCUUCACCCCUCAAAAUGGCAAAUACUUUGAAUUUAUGAUCCAUGGAGAUAUAGAUCUUGUUUUUGCGCACAUUUCCUUGCUGCUGUUGUUGUGAAAGUAUUUUCCUCUAUCACUUCCGUGUCUUUGGAACAGGAAAAGCUGCAGGCAGGGCCUCACAGUGUGUGCUAGCAUUCUGUCUUGCUGGAAGUCCCUGACUCCUCAUCCCCAGAUGGAGUUAAUAAUGUCUGCUCCACAGUUGCUGCGAGAAUUCAGUAAGACUGUUGAAGUGGGCAAAACCUCCAGCAUAGAUAUUCCAUAACUAUCAGAGGCCUCCCUUCCUCUUCAGCCAGAAAUCUCCCCUUUGAACCUGAGGUCCUUCUAAUCUUCAGGGGACCCCUUUGACAAUGCACAUGUCCAUGGAAGAGGAAAUUCCUUAAAACAUCGUCUGUGGGGAGACACUUUGUGGGAUGAAAAGAUGGUCACAGCUGAGCUGUGGGAGGGCAGAAGUGAGGGAUCUUUGAAGGAAAAGAAAGUGAAUGGAAGGAAAGACAAAUUUAGCAAGUUUAAUAAUUUAGUUGAGGGUUUCCCCAUCCCCCUCAUGAGUCACCCUCACACUCCGUAACAGUCUUGAGCUACCACCAGCCUGUCUUAAUCUCCAGAGGGCUCCAGUGCCCAGAAAAGUCCGAAAUAGCUUAGGAUGAAUUUUCUUAUCUUUCCUAAGGCAGAGAAUAUGAGGCUGUGCAUUACGCUAUUACUUUGCCCUUGAAUUUUUAGAGGCUGAUAAAACUUAGCCUCUAAAAGAUCAAGGAUAUUCCCUCUCUGCAGCACCAGGCAUAUGGUGCACGGUUAGCAGGAAUGGAUGGGGCUGGGAACAUGUUCAUGGUAUAUGAGCCUGGGUACCUGUGGGUACCAGAACCAUGUGCUGGAUUUUUCUGCCUGCUUGUGGGGUGUGGGAAGGCUGGCGUAAUUGGUUUCCUAAUGCCCUUUCUUCUUAGAAAAAUGUCUAAUCAUAAUGAAGAGAUAACUAACUAGAAAGGCCGUUUAAAAUGUCAGAUUUUAAGCUGGUUCUGAGUCUGUGAUGAAAAUUUGGAGUUAUGUCUCCCCGCAAAAGCCAAAUCCUAAUGGAAGAACUUGGGUUUUCUGAUGAAAACUCUUGGAGCAUUCUGCCCAAGGCCUCUUAUCUUCCUUUCCUUUCGUGCUUCACUUCCAUCAUCUCUGGCUGUAAUUGUAAGUAUUUUUUCUGGAGCGAGUUGAGUGCUGGUGAGAUGUUCCUGGGGCUGUCAGGGUGGUGUUGCUGCCUGUGUUAUGCCCUUUCACCAGGCGGCAGUGUGAGCCUCAGCCCAUCUGCUUUGGGAGCCUGCAGUCAAAUGCGUUUAUUCAUGUAGGCAGCUGACACAUUUAUUGAGCACCUCCUAUGUGCCAGGCAAAAUAGCUCUUCCAAUGGGAGAGGGAGACCACAAACCCAGUAAAUUCUGCAGUGUCACAGACGGUGAUCAAGUCCUUAGGGCAAAGGGAGAAGGGGUGCUGGGGACACUGGGGCAGUUGCUGGUUUAUAUGGGGAUAAGAGAGGGGCCCACCGACAAAAUGACUUUUGAAUGGAGAUCUGAAGCAUCUUCUGUGGCUAUGUGGAGGGAAAGCAU
rnacentral:lncRNA from 1 species